CUCCCGGUAGCCAGGCAGCCGCGGUAAUACGGAGGGGGUUAGCGUUGUUCGGAAUUACUGGGCGUAAAGCGCGCGUAGGCGGACCAGAAAGUUAGGGGGUGGAAAUACCCGGGGCUCAACCCCGGAACUGCCUCCAAAACUCCUGGUCUUGAGUUCGAGAGAGGUGAGUGGAAUUCCGAGUGUAGAGGUGAAAUUCGUAGAUAUUCGGAGGAACACCAGUGGCGAAGGCGGCUCACUGGCUCGAUACUGACGCUGAGGUGCGAAAGUGUGGGGGAGCAAACAGGAUUAGAUACCCUGGUAG
rnacentral:rRNA from 1 species